rnacentral:tRNA from 1 species
GCCUUUGUGGUGUAGUGGUCAGUAUGCUCGGCGCAUAUUCGAGAGGGCCGAGGUUCGAAUCCCGGCGAGGGCA